rnacentral:rRNA from 1 species
GUGGGAGCAAACAGGAUUAGAUACCUGGUAGUCCACGCCGUAAACGAUGUCGACUUGGAGGUUGUGCCCUUGAGGCGUGGCUUCCGGAGCUAACGCGUUAAGUCGACCGCCUGGGGAGUACGGCCGCAAGGUUAAAACUCAAAUGAAUUGACGGGGGCCCGCACAAGCGGUGGAGCAUGUGGUUUAAUUCGAUGCAACGCGAAGAACCUUACCUACUCUUGACAUCCAGAGAACUUUCCAGAGAUGGAUUGGUGCCUUCGGGAACUCUGAGACAGGUGCUGCAUGGCUGUCGUCAGCUCGUGUUGUGAAAUGUUGGGUUAAGUCCCGCAACGAGCGCAACCCUUAUCCUUUGUUGCCAGCGGCUAGGCCGGGAACUCAAAGGAGACUGCCAGUGAUAAACUGGAGGAAGGUGGGGAUGACGUCAAGUCAUCAUGGCCCUUACGAGUAGGGCUACACACGUGCUACAAUGGCGUAUACAAAGAGAAGCGACCUCGCGAGAGCAAGCGGACCUCAUAAAGUACGUCGUAGUCCGGAUUGGAGUCUGCAACUCGACUCCAUGAAGUCGGAAUCGCUAGUAAUCGUAGAUCAGAAUGCUACGGUGAAUACGUUCCCGGGCCUUGUACACACCGCCCGUCACACCAUGGGAGUGGGUUGCAAAAGAAGUAGGUAGCUUAACCUUCGGGAGGGCGCUUACCACUUUGUGAUUCAUGACUGGGGUGAAGUCGUAACAAGGUAACCA